rnacentral:rRNA from 1 species
UAAGCGACUAAGCGUACACGGUGGAUGCCUAGGCAGUCAGAGGCGAUGAAGGGCGUGCUAAUCUGCGAAAAGCGUCGGUAAGCUGAUAUGAAGCGUUAUAACCGACGAUACCCGAAUGGGGAAACCCAGUGCAAUACGUUGCACUAUCGUUAGAUGAAUACAUAGUCUAACGAGGCGAACCGGGGGAACUGAAACAUCUAAGUACCCCGAGGAAAAGAAAUCAACCGAGAUUCCCCCAGUAGCGGCGAGCGAACGGGGAGGAGCCCAGAGUCUGAAUCAGUUUGUGUGUUAGUGGAAGCGUCUGGAAAGUCGCACGGUACAGGGUGAUAGUCCCGUACACCAAAAUGCACAGGCUGUGAACUCGAUGAGUAGGGCGGGACACGUGACAUCCUGUCUGAAUAUGGGGGGACCAUCCUCCAAGGCUAAAUACUCCUGACUGACCGAUAGUGAACCAGUACCGUGAGGGAAAGGCGAAAAGAACCCCGGCGAGGGGAGUGAAAUAGAACCUGAAACCGUGUACGUACAAGCAGUGGGAGCACCUUCGUGGUGUGACUGCGUACCUUUUGUAUAAUGGGUCAGCGACUUAUAUUUUGUAGCAAGGUUAACCGAAUAGGGGAGCCGUAGGGAAACCGAGUCUUAACUGGGCGUCUAGUUGCAAGGUAUAGACCCGAAACCCGGUGAUCUAGCCAUGGGCAGGUUGAAGGUUGGGUAACACUAACUGGAGGACCGAACCGACUAAUGUUGAAAAAUUAGCGGAUGACUUGUGGCUGGGGGUGAAAGGCCAAUCAAACCGGGAGAUAGCUGGUUCUCCCCGAAAGCUAUUUAGGUAGCGCCUCGUGAACUCAUCUUCGGGGGUAGAGCACUGUUUCGGCUAGGGGGCCAUCCCGGCUUACCAAACCGAUGCAAACUCCGAAUACCGAAGAAUGUUAUCACGGGAGACACACGGCGGGUGCUAACGUCCGUCGUGAAGAGGGAAACAACCCAGACCGCCAGCUAAGGUCCCAAAGUCAUGGUUAAGUGGGAAACGAUGUGGGAAGGCACAGACAGCCAGGAUGUUGGCUUAGAAGCAGCCAUCAUUUAAAGAAAGCGUAAUAGCUCACUGGUCGAGUCGGCCUGCGCGGAAGAUGUAACGGGGCUAAACCAUGCACCGAAGCUGCGGCAGCGACACUUAGGUGUUGUUGGGUAGGGGAGCGUUCUGUAAGCCGUUGAAGGUGACCUGUGAGGGUUGCUGGAGGUAUCAGAAGUGCGAAUGCUGACAUAAGUAACGAUAAUGCGGGUGAAAAACCCGCACGCCGGAAGACCAAGGGUUCCUGUCCAACGUUAAUCGGGGCAGGGUGAGUCGACCCCUAAGGCGAGGCUGAAAAGCGUAGUCGAUGGGAAACAGGUUAAUAUUCCUGUACUUGGUGUUACUGCGAAGGGGGGGACGGAGAAGGCUAGGCUGGCCGGGCGACGGUUGUCCCGGUUUAAGCGUGUAGGGGGAGUGACCAGGUAAAUCCGGUUGCUUAUCAACCCUGAGGCGUGAUGACGAUGCACUACGGUGCAGAAGCAGUUGAUGCCAUGCUUCCAGGAAAAGCCUCUAAGCAUCAGGUAACAUUAAAUCGUACCCCAAACCGACACAGGUGGUCAGGUAGAGAAUACUCAGGCGCUUGAGAGAACUCGGGUGAAGGAACUAGGCAAAAUGGUGCCGUAACUUCGGGAGAAGGCACGCUGGCGUUAGGUGAAAGGACUAGCUCCUGGAGCUGAAGCCAGUCGCAGAUACCAGCUGGCUGCAACUGUUUAAUAAAAACACAGCACUGUGCAAACACGAAAGUGGACGUAUACGGUGUGACGCCUGCCCGGUGCUGGAAGGUUAAUUGAUGGGGUCAGCCGCAAGGCGAAGCUCUUGAUCGAAGCCCCAGUAAACGGCGGCCGUAACUAUAACGGUCCUAAGGUAGCGAAAUUCCUUGUCGGGUAAGUUCCGACCUGCACGAAUGGCGUAAUGAUGGCCAGGCUGUCUCCACCCGAGACUCAGUGAAAUUGAACUCGCUGUGAAGAUGCAGUGUACCCGCGGCAAGACGGAAAGACCCCGUGAACCUUUACUAUAGCUUGACACUGAACAUUGAGCCUUGAUGUGUAGGAUAGGUGGGAGGCCUUGAAGUGUGGACGCCAGUCUGCAUGGAGCCAACCUUGAAAUACCACCCUUUAAUGUUUGAUGUUCUAACUCGGCCCCAURAUCUGGGGUGAGGACAGUGUCUGGUGGGUAGUUUGACUGGGGCGGUCUCCUCCCAAAGAGUAACGGAGGAGCACGAAGGUUAGCUAAUCACGGUCGGACAUCGUGAGGUUAGUGCAAAGGCAUAAGCUAGCUUGACUGCGAGAGUGACGGCUCGAGCAGGUACGAAAGUAGGUCUUAGUGAUCCGGUGGUUCUGAAUGGAAGGGCCAUCGCUCAACGGAUAAAAGGUACUCCGGGGAUAACAGGCUGAUACCGCCCAAGAGUUCAUAUCGACGGCGGUGUUUGGCACCUCGAUGUCGGCUCAUCACAUCCUGGGGCUGAAGUAGGUCCCAAGGGUAUGGCUGUUCGCCAUUUAAAGUGGUACGCGAGCUGGGUUUAGAACGUCGUGAGACAGUUCGGUCCCUAUCUGCCGUGGGCGUUGGAAGAUUGAGAGGGGCUGCUCCUAGUACGAGAGGACCGGAGUGGACGAAUCACUGGUGUUCGGGUUGUCAUGCCAAUGGCAUUGCCCGGUAGCUAAAUUCGGAAGAGAUAACCGCUGAAAGCAUCUAAGCGGGAAACUUGCCUCGAGAUGAGUCUUCCCUGGGUCUUWAAGYCCCCUGAAGGAACGUUAAAGACUAUGACGUUGAUAGGCUGGGUGUGUAAGUGCAGCGAUGUAUUGAGCUAACCAGUACUAAUGAUCCGUGAGGCUUAACCU